rnacentral:rRNA from 1 species
UCUUUCUUUGCUGGCGACCGGCGCACGGGUGAGUAACACGUAUCCAACCUGCCUUUACUCGGGGAUAGCCUUUCGAAAGAAAGAUUAAUACCCGAUAGUAUAAUGAUUCCGCAUGGUUUCAUUAUUAAAGGAUUCCGGUAAAGGAUGGGGAUGCGUUCCAUUAGGUUGUUGGCGAGGUAACGGCUCACCAAGCCUUCGAUGGAUAGGGGUUCUGAGAGGAAGGUCCCCCACAUUGGAACUGAGACACGGUCCAA